rnacentral:rRNA from 1 species
GACGAACCGUGCGAACGUUAUUCGGAAUCACUGGGCUUAAAGGGCGCGUAGGCGGGUCCGUAAGUCAGGGGUGAAAUCCCACGGCCCAACCGUGGAAGUGCCUCUGAUACUGCGGGCCUCGAGGGGGAUAGGGGCGUGCGGAACUCAGGGUGGAGCGGUGAAAUGCGCAGAUAUCAGGAGGAACACCGGUGGCGAAGGCGGGUCUCUGGGCAAUAACUGACGCUGAGGAGCGAAAGUGUGGGGAGCGAACAGG